ensembl:lncRNA
UGUGUAUAGAUAUAGAUAGAUAGUUUCUAACUCCUUGACUUCAGGACACCAUUAAAAAACAUAAACGUACAUACAGCACAUGUAACUGGUUUGCAGAAAUCACAGCACUCUAGGGUCAUAGCUGCCUGUAAAAAGGAGAAUGUAAUACACACAUUAAACAAGGAUAACUCACUGCUGAACAGUUUAAUUUGCCUGCCUUUCCCUCUCAGCAAUGUUUUCAGGGAACACUGACAUCGUGUUCCCUGAGAAGGUUGCUAAAGAAGGAGAAGCCAGGGUUUGUUGUCCUUGUUUAUAAACUUGGUUCUUGUCCUCCCCUCUCUUUUCAUAUCUCAUCCUUUUUUUCCCUCUUGUCCUGACGGUCUGGUGCUUCUGGCUUCUGCGAGGUCAGUAGCUCAGUGUGAGUUGAUCCCUUGCUGUCAGCCCCACAAACACCCUGAAUCUUACAGUCCCCCUGAGCCUGCCUGGAAGCUGCUGGCACCCAGUGUGGUGGGGGCUGCAAGGGAGCCUUGGGCUGGGGACCAGUAUCACCACUGCCUCCCCAGUGUGUUCCUUCUAAGUGCUGACUCCAAUCUCAUCCUCAGCUCCCUGUUCAGCUGGGUUCUGUUCAGGUUGUGGGAAGCCUUAGGGCUCUUUUCUGUUUGGCUACAGCCUGUAGAGACAGCCAAGGAACUGUCAUUUACUUGUUUGUGUUUGCAGCUUCUUUUCCAUCCAGCAUGCCAAACUGCUUUGGAACCAAAGGAAUAAGAAUAAAUGGGCGUUUUCUAAUGAAGCAGUCCUUUCUUUUCCUGUUGCUAUUUCCUGUUUCUUCUCCUGUUUCUAUGCCAAGGAGGGGCUUGGGUGUCAACCGGACAUGUGGGCAUAAACCCCCCUUUACCUGCAGUUUUCCUGUGUCUUCCCAAGUGAAUUUAGUCAAUAGGGUCUGGAGUUUUUGACUUGAACCCUGUUAGGACUCAGUACAUGCAGUUUUCAUAACUAUAGGAAGAUGCCAACAGACUCAGAGACUGUAAAGUUCCUUUUAUAAAGGAUGAGAUGGAAAUUAAAUGAGAAACUUCUAUAAAACAGGAGUGAACAUGUGUGUGUCACUUCAGUCCUGUCCAACUCUUUGCAACACCAUUGACUCUAGCCCUUCAGGCUCCUCAGUGUGGGUUUCUCUGAGGAAUGCAGGAAUACUGGCAUGGGGUGCCAUGCACGGGCUCUAGGGCAAUGGGCUUCAGUAGUUGCAGCUGGAGGGCUCGGUAGUUUCAGCUCCCAGGCUCUAGAGCACAGGUUCAGUAAUUGUGGUGCAUGGGCUUAGUUCAUCCAAGGUAUGUGUCAUCUUCCUGAAUCAGGGAUCAAACCUGUGUCUCCUGCAUUGAUAGGCGGAUUUUUUACCACUGAGGCACCAGGGAAGCCUGAGACUUUUAACUUAAAGAUUUUCUGGAGGCGCCUACCUGGAGUCAUUUAUUUACAUUUCAAGCAGCAAAGGGUGGCACCAUUGGACUUUCAGAAGAUCAAUCUAUGGGCACUACGGACCAUGCAGGACAGCGGUUCCCAACCACAUCAGCCAUGAUCUGUGCCAUGAAGGGAUUUAUCCGGUGUGUUUGAAAUUCAGUAUGAUCCACAGUUGUCUCUCAUGUCCAUGGGGGAUUGGUUCUAGGACCUGCCGUGGAUGCCAAAAUUCAAGGCUGGCCAAGACCCAGAGUCAGCCCUACAUAUCUGUGGUCACUCAUCUGUGGACCCAAUCCGCUGCUGACUGUGUAGUAUUGUAUGUACAAUCAACUCUUGAACAAAAUGAGUUUGCACUGUGCCAGUCCACUAAACACAUGGAAGUUUUUCAGUAAAUACUACAUGGUCUGCAGUUGGUUGAAUCCAUGGAUACUGAACCCUGGAUAUGGAGAGCUGACUAUGGAUGAAUAUCCAUGGUCUAUGACUGGGUCCUAGAGCCAGACUCCACCUACACUGAGGGAUGACUAUGCUUAUUAAAAAAAAAAAGAUCCAUGUAGGGGACUUCCCUGGUGGUCCAGUGGUUAAGAAUCUCCUUGCAAUGCAGAGGAUGCAUUCAGUGCCUGGUUGGGGAACUAAGAUCCCACAUACCAUGGAGUACCUAAGCCCACGCCCCACAACUAGAGUCCAUGUGCUCCAGCAAAGAGCCCACAUGCCACAGCUAAAACCUGAUGCAGCCCCAAAAUAAAGAUCCAUGUACAGUGGACCCAACCAGUUCAAACUCUUGCUCUUUAAGGAUCAAAUGUCACUGAUGUUAAAUUACUUCAAGUUAUGUUCAGUUACUUCACAGAU